CGGAUUCUGGCUCAGAUGAACGCUGGCGGCAGGCCUAACACAUGCAAGUCGAACGGUAACAGGAAGCAGCUGCUGCUUGCUGACGAGUGGCGGACGGGUGAGUAAUGUCUGGGAAACUGCCCGAUGGAGGGGGAUAACUACUGGAAACGGUAGCUAAUACCGCAUAAUGUCGCAAGACCAAAGAGGGGGACCUUCGGGCCUCUUGCCAUCGGAUGUGCCCAGAUGGGAUUAGCUAGUUGGUGAGGUAACGGCUCACCAAGGCGACGAUCCCUAGCUGGUCUGAGAGGAUGACCAGCCACACUGGAACUGAGACACGGUCCAGACUCCUACGGGAGGCAGCAGUGGGGAAUAUUGCACAAUGGGCGCAAGCCUGAUGCAGCCAUGCCGCGUGUAUGAAGAAGGCCUUCGGGUUGUAAAGUACUUUCAGCGGGGAGGAAGGGGUUAAGGUUAAUAACCUUAGCCAUUGACGUUACCCGCAGAAGAAGCACCGGCUAACUCCGUGCCAGCAGCGGC
rnacentral:rRNA from 1 species